rnacentral:rRNA from 1 species
GAUUUAUAAGGUCUGGCCUGCCCACUGGAGAAACCUAAAGGGCCGCGGUAUUUUAACCGUGCAAAGGUAGCAUAGUCAUUAGUCUCUUAAUUGGGGUCUUGUAUGAAUGGCCGGACAAGAAGUUAGCUGUCUCAAGAGUAAAAAUUGAAAUUGACCUUCGGGUGAAAAGGCUCGAAUAUUUUAAAGGGACGAUAAGACCCUAUAAAGCUUAAUAAUUUACAUGUAUUUAAAUAAUUUAUUAGUAUAAUGUAAUUUAAUUGGCAAAUUAUUUCGUUGGGGCGAUGAUAAUAUAAUUUGUAACUGUUUAAAAGUUGAUUCAGAAAUAUCUGUAUUUAGUGAUCCGUUGUCGCGAUUAAAAGUUAAAGUUACUUUAGGGAUAACAGCGUUAUUUAUUUUGAGAGUUCAUAUCGACAAAGAAGUUUGCGACCUCGAUGUUGAAUUAAAAUUUUAUCAUGGCGUAGCAGUUAAGAUAGUAGGUCUGUUCGACCUUUAAAAUUUUACAUGAUUUGAGUUCAAACCG